CUCCUCAUGUGGCUCUACAUGAUCUCAUAAUCUGAGCCAGACACUAUACAGAUUCAUAACAGUGGUGCUCACCCUAGACCUUCUAGGCCCUGGAGGUUACACAGAGGCCUGAGAGGACAUCCAGACAUUCAAUCCUUGUCUAGGGCCUUGUGGGAAGUAAUUGCGCUUUCCUGGGACCAGUGAGCUAGUGUGUGCCCCUGAGGCCACAUGGGACACUCUGAGGGAGGGAAUGGCUCCGCUCAGCCAAGCUGGCCAAUAUGGCCUAAUAAGGUGGUCUGAGGACUAGUAUACAUGCUAGUUGAAUGUGCAGGUGAGAACCUGUGAGUGUGUGUGUGUGAGAUGGUGGGUAGAAAGGCCAGCAUGUGAAAGCAUUGUGUGUGUGAGUGUGUGUGUGAAAGAGAGAAGGGAGUUGUGAGUAGGAAGGCCAACAUGUGAGUGCAUUGUGUGUGAGUGUGUGUGUGUGUGUGUGUGUGUGUGUGCACCAGAGAGUGGGAGAGAGAGAGAAAAACAUGUUGAUAGGUAUAGAUAAGGGAUUUGGGAGUACGUGUGGAGGAAUUGGGUUCCUAAGAAGGUGACUAAGUUAGAGAUUUUGUAAACGUGGGGCUUUUGGGGUGCAGAAGCAGGCCAUCUGGUUCGGAGAAACCACCAAACGCCCCCCAAGUUCCACAUCAUGGGAUUCCCCCUCCCAACUUUCCUGGCUAGUCCUAUCAGCACCACGGACAGCGCAUCGAUAAUGUCAAACCCGGCAGGACAGAAAGAGCAGCAGCCCCACCCCUUCCCUUCCAUUCCAACCUGAGUCACUGCUCACUCCUUCGUCCAACGUCAGUUUCCUCAACUGUGUAUUGGGAGGUUGAGGUGGGUGUGGGGGACGUGAGUUGGUCCUUUGAAGAGGAAAACUGCAGUUUAGGGCAAAGUAUCAUAAACAUCUGGCUGCUUCUGGGCACCAAUUAAGCACAUUAAGUGGGGAGCGACAGCAGCUACACAACCCAAGCCCAUAAAGCCUUCUAAUUGCUCCUACCCACGUGGUCACAGUUUCCCCACUUAUAUAAAAGGCCUACAGAGGUGCAAGGAGUGAACGCCUGACGCCUCGACCACUGUACUCUCCAUUCGGACGUCUCCAUCCUCAGAACCUCCUCUCUUCCCCAAAAAGCACCAUGACUUGCGGAUCUUACUGUGGUGGCCGCGCCUUCAGCUGCAUCUCGGCCUGCGGGCCCCGGCCUGGCCGCUGCUGCAUCACCGCGCCCUACCGUGGCAUCUCCUGCUACCUGGCCUCACUGGGGGCUUUGCUUGGCGCCACAGCGUGUCACGGAGGCUAUAGAGCCGCUCCUGCUGGGCCACUUGAUUCGGCUACGCUCUCAGGGCGUGUGCGGGCCCAGCCCCCCAUGCAUCACCACCGUGUCGGUCAACGAGAGCCUCCUCACGCCCCUCAACCUGGAGAUCGACCCCAACGCGCAGUGUGUGAAGCAGGAGGAGAAGGAGCAGAUUAAGUGCCUCAACAGUAGGUUCGCGGCCUUCAUCGAUAAGGUGCGCUUCCUGGAGCAGCAGAACAAGCUGCUGGAGACAAAGCUGCAAUUCUUCCAGGGCCGCGAGUGUUGCCAGAGCAACCUGGAGCCCCUGUUCGAGGCUACAUCGAGACUCUGCGGCGGGAGGCCGGGUGCGUGGAGGCCCGACAGUGGGAGGCACAGCCUCAGAGCUCAACCACGUGCAGGAGGUGCUGGAGGGAUACAAGAAGAAGUAUGAGGAGGAGGUUUCUCUGAGAGCAACAGCUGAGAGCAGUUUGUGGCUCUGAAGAAGGAUGUGGACUGCGCCUACCUCCAUAAGUCAGACCUGGAGGCCAACGUAAGGCCUGAUCCAAGAGACCAGGCUUCUAGAGGCGGCUGUGUAUGAAGAAAGCCUGAGAAGUUCUCAGUCCCACAUCUCAGACACACUCUGUGUGUGGUUGUCAGGAUUGGACAACAGCCGGGACCUGAACAUGCUGGACUGCAUCGUCGCCGAGAUCAAAGGCACAGUACGACGACAUUCACCCGCAGCCGGGCGAGGCCGAGUCACCAGUACCGCAGCAAGUGUGAGAUGAAGGCCACGGUGAUUAGGCAUGGGGAGACCUAAGGCCGCACCAAGGAGAGAUCAACGAAACUCAAGCUGGAGGCAGCGGUGGCCCAGUCUGAGCAGCAGGAGUGGCGGCCCUCAGCGAUGCCGCUCGCUGGCCGAGCUGGGCCCUGCAGAAACCAAAGCAGGACAUGGCCUGCCUGAUCAGGGAGUACCAGGAGGUGAUGAACUCCAAGCUGGGCCUGGACAUUGAGAUCGCCACCUACAGGCGCCUGCUGGAGGGCGAGGAGCAGAGGCUGUGUGAGGGCGUUGGCUCGGUGAAUGUCUGCGUCAGCAGCUCCCGCGGUGGCGUCGUCUGUGGCGAUCUCUGUGCCUCCACUACUGCCCCUGUUGUCUCCACCAGAGUCAGCAGCGUCCCAAGCAACAGCAACGUGGUGGUGGGCACCACUAACGCUUGCGCCCCCUCCAUCGGGAUUGGCGCCUGCGGCGGCAGCUGUAAGAGGUGCUAGGAGGCUGCGGCCUCUGCCAGCGCCUGUAGCCAUCAUUCUCCACCCAGCCAGUCCUCAGGCCGCCGGAACGCGCCGCCCUGGCCAGCUUCCCAAGAGCCGCCGCCAGCUGCGUGCACUCUAAGUGCCCUCCCCACCGCUCCGCUCUGGGAGCCAUCCCUGGUCGCAGGAGUCCGGGGAGGCCCGGCCAGCGCCGUGGUCUCUCUCUCUCUAGCCUUUCCUGGUAGUCAAUUUAUUGUCCUGAGGAUUCAUCCUUUUCUUCCGCCUACCUUCUGUUUUUUUGCUGUAUGCAUUGGUCUUGCCUGACCUCUUCCCCAAAGCUUGGAGGAACGGGGGAGGCCCGGGAAUGUCCCUGUCUGCACGACCUGGGACUCUGCCCAUGCGCUUCUGCCUGUGGAAUGGAGACGUGCACCCUGGAUGGUGGUUCUGUGACUCUGCGAGGGACAGGCCCACGUGUGGCCCGCAAGAGCUUCUGAAAAACUAAUGACUCUGCUGCCUUCUCCUUUGUCUUUGUUUCACUCUGUGUUUCCAAUAAACUCAUUGUAGCGAAUCAA